CCCUUAGAUGUCCUGGGCCGCACGCGCGCUACACUGAUGCAUGCAACGAGUUUAUAACCUUGGCCUGAAAGGUCCGGGUAAUCUUUGAAUCUGCAUCGUGACGGGGAUAGAUUAUUGCAAUUAUUAAUCUUCAACGAGGAAUGCCUAGUAGGCGCAAGUCAUCAGCUUGCGUCGAUUACGUCCCUGCCCUUUGUACACACCGCCCGUCGCUCCUACCGAUUGGGUGUGCUGGUGAAAUGUUCGGAUCGGCCGUUUGUCGCGGUUUCCGCGUCAUGUGGCUGAGAAGUUCAUUAAACCCUCCCACCUAGAGGAAGGAGAAGUCGUAACA
rnacentral:rRNA from 1 species